rnacentral:sRNA from 1 species
CCGUGGCCAUUUUGGUUCAAG